rnacentral:rRNA from 1 species
UAACUGAAUCCUUCGGGAGGAAGUUAGUGGAACGAGCGGCGGACGGGUGAGUAACACGUGGGCAACCUGCCUGUGAGACUGGGAUAACCCCGGGAAACCGGGGCUAAUACCGGAUAAUACUUUUCUUUGCAUGAAGAGGAGUUGAAAGGCGGCUUUUAGCUGCCGCUUGCAGAUGGGCCCGCGGCGCAUUAGCUAGUUGGUAAGGUAAGAGCUUACCAAGGCGACGAUGCGUAGCCGACCUGAGAGGGUGAUCGGCCACACUGGGACUGAGACACGGCCCAGACUCCUACGGGAGGCAGCAGUAGGGAAUCUUCCGCAAUGGACGAAAGUCUGACGGAGCAACGCCGCGUGAGUGAUGAAGGUUUUCGGAUCGUAAAGCUCUGUUGUGAGGGAAGAACAAGUACCGUUUGAAAAAGGCGGUACCUUGACGGUACCUCACCAGAAAGCCCCGGCUAACUACGUGCCAGCAGCCGCGGUAAUACGUAGGGGGCAAGCGUUGUCCGGAAUUAUUGGGCGUAAAGCGCGCGCAGGCGGUCUUUUAAGUCUGAUGUGAAAGCCCACGGCUUAACCGUGGAGGGUCAUUGGAAACUGGAGGACUUGAGUGCAGAAGAGGAGAGUGGAAUUCCACGUGUAGCGGUGAAAUGCGUAGAGAUGUGGAGGAACACCAGUGGCGAAGGCGACUCUCUGGUCUGUAACUGACGCUGAGGUGCGAAAGCGUGGGUAGCGAACAGGAUUAGAUACCCUGGUAGUCCACGCCGUAAACGAUGAGUGGUAGGUGUUAGGGG